UGGGGAAUUUUGGACAAUGGGCGAAAGCCUGAUCCAGCAAUGCCGCGUGUGUGAAGAAGGCCUUCGGGUUGUAAAGCACUUUUGUCCGGAAAGAAAUCCUUGGCUCUAAUACAGUCGGGGGAUGACGGUACCGGAAGAAUAAGCACCGGCUAACUACGUGCCAGCAGCCGCGGUAAUACGUAGGGUGCAAGCGUUAAUCGGAAUUACUGGGCGUAAAGCGUGCGCAGGCGGUUUGCUAAGACCGAUGUGAAAUCCCCGGGCUCAACCUGGGAACUGCUUGGUAACUGGCAGGCUAGAGUAUGGCAGAGGGGGGUAGAAUUCCACGUGUAGCAGUGAAAUGCGUAGAGAUGUGGAGGAAUACCGAUGGCGAAGGCAGCCCCCCUGGGGCCAAAUACUGACGCUCAUGCACGAAAGCGUGGGGAGCAAACAGGAUUAGAUACCCUGGUAGUCCACGCCCUAAACGAUGUCAACUAGUUGUUGGGGAUUCAUUUCCUUAGUAACGUAGCUAACGCGUGAAGUUGACCG
rnacentral:rRNA from 1 species